GUCAGGAUAGCUCAGUUGGUAGAGCAGAGGACUGAAAAUCC
rnacentral:tRNA from 93 species